GCUCUGGUGGCUCAAUCGGAUAGAGCGUUGGACUUCUAAUCCAAAGGUUGCGGGUUCAAGUCCCGCCCAGAGUG
rnacentral:tRNA from 1 species